UCCUCUGGUGCAAACGGUUAAGUGCUUGACUGCUAACCAAAAGAUUGGUGGUUCGAACCUACCCAGAGGUG
rnacentral:tRNA from 1 species